rfam:Pontibacillus yanchengensis Y32 contig27, whole genome shotgun sequence.
GGUGAAGGAGGUUCGAUUAAACUCGCUGCAUCAUGCAGCAAUAUCGAACUGACCUACCUCCUGUAGG